UAUACAACUUUCAACAACGGAUCUCUUGGCUCUCGCAUCGAUGAAGAACGCAGCGAAAUGCGAUAAGUAAUGUGAAUUGCAGAAUUCAGUGAAUCAUCGAAUCUUUGAACGCACCUUGCGCUCCUUGGUAUUCCGAGGAGCAUGCCUGUUUGAGUGUC
rnacentral:rRNA from 1 species